CUACAUUUGCAUGUCAUGAAAAGCAUUCAGGGCCAGAGGAAGAUGCGGCAAUUGACAAAUUAAUUAGAAAAACGGAAAAACAAGGGAAAAGUGAGCAACAAUUCUAGAAUGGUGCAUUCUGAUGGUCUCUCUCCUUCACCUUAACGAGCGUGCAUGGACGAAAGAAUAGAUGACGUUUGCAGUUAACCCCCCAGAUCAGGAAAAAUUCAGGGAAUUCAGUUGAUUUAUUAUCUCUAAGGAAACAUGUUCAAAGUGUAGCGUACUCUACUUUCCUUCUUGAAUCUCGAAACAUUUUUACGAAGGUUGUACAGAACACAAGGAGUGCAUGUUCGGUUUGCCCCGAGCCCAACAGGUUACCUGCAUCUCGGAGGCCUCCGUACAGCUCUGUGCAACAUGAUGCAACUAUUCUUUGGCUCGAGAAAACCAAGGGUAUUCUGUUCUGCCCUUGGAAGACACGCACCAAACAGGAAUCAUACCAGAUGCUGCCGGUAACCUCCAAGAGGAUCCAUUCUGAACUGGAAUCAUCCCCCACAAAGACUCGACAAGGAGUGGACCCGCAGGCUCCUACUUUCUAUUAAAGCGUCUCGAAUUAUACAACGAGCAGGUUCAAGAAGUUUUCCUCCAAAAUGGCUUGGCUUGACGCUGUUUUUAUUCAGACAAUGGACUGGGCCUCCUAGGACAAGAAUUGUUGAGGCUUAGGUAAACACCGAAGCAUGACAAUUGCAGACACCUGAGCAAAGAGGACCUGAUAAAUUGGGGCGAGGAGAAUCUCAUUACUUCAGAUCUAAAGUAGGAGAAAGAUGUUUGGCUGUUGAUUCGACUCUAAGAGGAUAACUGGGUUCAUAAGAUCACCGAGGAUGCUCAAAUCAGAGAAGGAGACUGCGGCGAUGAGGUUGUACCGGAGGAAGAAUUACCACCUUUUCUUUAACUCGAAGAUUGGAUUCGCAAAAUCCUGAGCGGAGGAUGAUCAACCGAUUUCUGUGUACUAUUCAUCCGGUAUCAUCCAUACCUGGUGGAAAAAGUCUGGUUAGAGCAUUGCUUUAUCGAAUUUAGGACUGAGUGAUGUCUUGAUCGUUCGACAAAGGAGUAGGAUGAAUGCACGCACAUGAUGAGGCACCAGAUCUAGGAAUAUCUCCUCGGGUUUCCUAUUCUCCUGAUAGAAAAUCAAAUUUUUGGCCUGAAUUCCAAACUUCAGGGCCACUUUUCUGGAUUAUUAUUUCUGUUCAGAGAAAAAGGUCCUGUCAUUCAUAUCCUGCAUCGAGAGGGAUGAAUAUAUAUAAUCCAGGAUGUCCUCGGGUCGUUCUCUGCCC
rnacentral:lncRNA from 1 species